GACGAACGCUGGCGGCGUGCCUAACACAUGCAAGUUGAGCGACGAACCAGGGCUUGCCCUGGGGCAAAGCAGCGAACGGGUGAGUAACACGUGGGUAACCUACCCCGAUAACCGGGACAACCCGAGGAAACUCGGGCUAAUACCGGAUGUGCUCACUGGACUUCGGUUCAGUGCGUAAAGGAAGCUUCGGCCUCCGUAUCGGGAGGGGCCCGCGGCCCAUUAGUUUGUUGGGGAGGUAACGGCUCACCAAGACCGCGAUGGGUAGCUGGUCUGAGAGGACGAUCAGCCACACUGGGACUGAGAAACGGCCCAGACUCCUACGGGAGGCAGCAGUGGGGAAUCUUGCGCAAUGCGCGAAAGCGUGAAGCAGCAACGCCGCGUGGGGGAAGAAGGCCUUCGGGUUGUAAACCCCUUUCAGGAGGGACGAAGGUUCGGCAGUUAACAGCUGUCCGGACUGACGGUACCUCCACAAGAAGCCCCGGCUAACUACGUGCCAGCCGCCGCCGUAA
rnacentral:rRNA from 1 species